rnacentral:siRNA from 1 species
ACAAGAGUCAGCACUAAACAGUA